AGCCCUCUCCUCAGCACCGACUCCGAGCUCUCCGCUCUCGCUAGCACCUGCGCAGGCGCAGUAAGUGGGCGGAGCUGACGCGCGGCUGGGGCUAAACUUCCCGUGAGAAGUGCGCGUUCUCGCGGGAACUGCAUUCAAAAAGCCGCGGCGCUUAGCCGGAAGGUAGGUGUGCGCGUCGGCUAAUGUUUCUGUGGCAGGAAGAGUUACCCUCAGAAGCCUGGGCGCUGUGAACUCGCCGCGAGCCGCCGCCGGCAGCAGCUGGGGAAGGGGUGCUGGAGGGUUCCGAGUCGGUUUCAGUUUUCCGUUGGGCCGCCUCGACGCCCCCCCCGGGGAUGCUGCCUGGACUUGGAAGGCCUGGGAGGCCGCCGGGGCCUCCGAAAGAUAACAGACACGAGACCUGCGCUGUCCGGGAUGAGAAAUGCUGUAAAUGUGAAAUAUACAGUGGAUUUCGAAGACUAUACAAAAGUCAUAUUUCGUUAAUAAAAUCAUAUUUCGUGUUAUGGUUA